AGGACGAACGCUGGCGGCAUGCCUAACACAUGCAAGUCGAACGGAGUAAUGACUUCGGUUAUACUUAGUGGCGAACGGGUGAGUAACACGUGAAUAAUCUGCCCUGUACGAUGGGAUAACAGCUGGAAACGGCUGCUAAUACCGUAUAUGACCACGCCGAGGCAUCUCGGAGGGGUGAAAGCGCUUAAGCGGUACAGGAUGAGUUCGCGUCCAAUUAGCUAGUUGGUGAGGUAACGGCCCACCAAGGCGACGAUUGGUAGCCGACCUGAGAGGGUGAUCGGCCACACUGGAACUGAGACACGGUCCAGACUCCUACGGGAGGCAGCAGUGGGGAAUAUUGGGCAAUGGAGGAAACUCUUUAACCCCCAGCAAUGCCGCGUGAGUGAUGAAGGUCUUCGGAUUGUAAAGCUCUUUGAUUGGGGACGAAUAAAUGACGGUACCCAAGGAACAAGCCCCGGCUAACUAUGUGCCAGCCGCAGC
rnacentral:rRNA from 1 species